rnacentral:rRNA from 7 species
AUUGCCCUAGUAACGGCGAGUGAAGCGGCAACAGCUCAAAUUUGAAAUCUGGCCCUCGGGUCCGAGUUGUAAUUUGUAGAGGAUGCUUUUGGUGAGGUGCCUUCCGAGUUCCCUGGAACGGGACGCCAUAGAGGGUGAGAGCCCCGUCUGGUUGGACACCGAGCCUCUGUAAAGCUCCUUCGACGAGUCGAGUAGUUUGGGAAUGCUGCUCUAAAUGGGAGGUAUAUGUCUUCUAAAGCUAAAUACCGGCCAGAGACCGAUAGCGCACAAGUAGAGUGAUCGAAAGAUGAAAAGCACUUUGAAAAGAGAGUUAAAAAGUACGUGAAAUUGUUGAAAGGGAAGCGCUUAUGACCAGACUUGGGCUUGGUUGAUCAUCCUGGGUUCUCCCUGGUGCACUCUUCCAGUUCAGGCCAGCAUCAGUUCGCUGCGGGGGAUAAAAGCUUUAGGAAUGUGGCUCCCUCGGGAGUGUUAUAGCCUAUUGCAUAAUACCCUGCUCCGGACUGAGGUUCGCGCAUCUGCAAGGAUGCUGGCGUAAUGGUCAUCAGCGACCCGUCUUGAAACACGGACCAAGGAGUCGUCUUCGUAUGCGAGUGUUCGGGUGUUAAACCCCUACGCGUAAUGAAAGUGAACGCAGGUGAGAGCUUCGGCGCAUCAUCGACCGAUCCUGAUGUUCUCGGAUGGAUUUGAGUAAGAGCAUACGGGGCCGGACCCGAAAGAAGGUGAACUAUGCCUGUAUAGGGUGAAGCCAGAGGAAACUCUGGUGGAGGCUCGCAGCGGUUCUGACGUGCAAAUCGAUCGUCAAAUAUGGGCAUGGGGGCGAAAGACUAAUCGAACCUUCUAGUAGCUGGUUUCCGCCGAAGUUUCCCUCAGGA